rnacentral:lncRNA from 10 species
CAAAGAUUCUGAGUUUAACUGCACCUUAGAACUUUCUUCUCUCAAUGUGCCCUGUUUAGAACACCUACCUCUUUCCUCUUUAAUGACAAAGUCCUACUUUUUUAAGGUCUUAAUCUACUACACAUCUCAUGCAACAUUUCUUUAAUUCCUAGAGUUGCAAUUGCUUCAGACUUCUUGUUCACUCUCACAGAAGUUGACUGUAACUUGUCUAUUUCCUCUUUCAUUGUAAGCUGUUCUUCCUCAACCAUACUAAACUACGUUCUUGAAACAGAACCUGUGGUUUUGAUUUGAUAUUCAUUGAAGUACUAUGAUGGGUGGAAAUUGAACAAUGAGAACACAUGGAC